UGGGGAAUUUUGCACAAUGGGGGAAACCCUGAUGCAGCGACGCCGCGUGAUUUAGAAGGCCUUCGGGUUGUAAAAAUCUUUUCUAUGGGAAGAAAAUGACAGUACCAUAGGAAUAAGGACCGGCCAAUCACGUGCCAGCAGCCGCGGUAAUACGUAAGGUCCGAGCGUUGUCCGGAAUCAUUGGGCGUAAAGGGUACGUAGGCGGGUAAGCAAGUUAGAAGUGAAAUCCUAUAGCUCAACUAUAGUAAGCUUUUAAAACUGCUCAUCUUGAGGUAUGGAAGGGACCGUGGAAUUCCUAGUGUAGCGGCGAAAUGCGCAGAUAUUAGGAGGAAUACCGGUGGCGAAUGCGACUUUCUGGCCAUAACCUGACACAGAGGUACGAAAGCGUGGGUAGCAAACAGG
rnacentral:rRNA from 1 species